rnacentral:rRNA from 1 species
CACGUAGGGGGCAAGCGUUGUCCGGAUUUAUUGGGCGUAAAGAGCUCGUAGGCGGUUCGGUAAGUCGGGUGUGAAACCUCCAGGCUCAACCUGGAGACGCCACCCGAUACUGCUGUGACUAGAGUCCGGUAGGGGAGCGUGGAAUUCCUGGUGUAGCGGUGAAAUGCGCAGAUAUCAGGAGGAACACCAGUAGCGGAGGCGGCUCGCUGGGCCACACCUGACGCUGAGACGCGAAAGCGUGGGGAGCAAACAGG